UGGUCACUGUGAUCAUUGGGCGAUGUUGAUGGAAAAUUUUCUCAGAUCAAAGGAGUUUUUUGAUAUGGUGGAGAGGGGUUAUGAAGAGCCAAAUGAAGGCGAGGUACUCUCAGCUAGUGGUGAUUCCUGAAAAAUAUUUUCAUGA